rnacentral:rRNA from 1 species
UACGGGGGGUCCGAGCGUUAAUCGGAAUUACUGGGCGUAAAGGGUCUGUAGGUGGUUUGUUAAGUCAGAUGUGAAAGCCCAGGGCUCAACCUUGGAACUGCAUUUGAUACUGGCAAACUAGAGUAUGGUAGAGGAAUGGGGAAUUUCUGGUGUAGCGGUGAAAUGCGUAGAGAUCAGAAGGAACACCAAUGGCGAAGGCAACAUUCUGGACCAAUACUGACACUGAGGGACGAAAGCGUGGGGAUCAAACAGG